rnacentral:lncRNA from 1 species
GGGCAGGUGUGGUGGAGACAAGGUGGAAGGAAGUGAGAACAGGCCAAGGCUCUCAGAACAGACACAGAACAGAGGUGAGGGAAGAUGGUCAGCGUGUCUGGCCAUUGUUAGUCCCUUACAGGAACAAGAGGGGCCGGGCCUCCCUCACUACCUGCCCAUGGGAGCUGCAGAAUUAACAACUUGACAGAGUGGGUGUGAACUCAUUUUACUCCAAUCCCACUGUGCCUGUUGAAUAGACCAGACCCUGUAGCAUUCCAAGGCAAUCUCAGCUAGAUACUGCAGAUCAAACAAACAAACAAACCAAAGUCCUGCAAAGGACUCCAGAAGUCAGUCAAAUCCAGAUCAUGGGGGGAGUCCAGGCUGAGUUUAGGGAGUGGAGGCAGGAGUGGAUGGACAGUGGACUGAUGGCUGGGAGGUGCUAGCAAGCCUCCCAACUGUGACUGCCCUGAGCCCCCAUGCACUGCACAGUGGUGGUGGGGCAGGUACUGCCUACUUCCCGGGUUACUGAGGGUCCAUGUCACUGAGUGAGAAGGAGGCAUCAUCCCUGGAAGCAGCUUUGGGAGCCCCCCUGGUAUCAGUGAGGGUGUCAAAAAGGCCAGAGGGGUAGGAAGGGAAGGGGCCCCAAGCACAGCAGGGCAUCCAGGGACAUACAGGCCUGUGAUAGGUUCAGACCUUCAAGAGGGAGCAGAGUGACAUGCAGAACCAGGAGCAUGGAGGGAGCUCAGGAGCCGGACAGGAGGCUGGACCUGCAGCGACCCGGAGCCAGCAUCCCAAAGACAGCCGAAGAAAGCCAGAGCUGCUGCUGGAGGCCAGGGCUCCUGAAUGAAGCAGUCUUGUUAGCCUCUGCAGGAAAGCCAAGGCCAUGCAGGACCAUUGGUCCAUUCUUUUAUUCGUUCAUUUAUUCACAUGCCCAUCCACUCCUCACCCACUCAUCUGUCACUCACUCACUCGUUUAUUAUCCUUCCCUCUCUCCACACACACGGGAAAAUGCUGCUUCUUGACCAGUCAUUUUCCCGGCACUGUGCUAGCUACACAUGGCUUUAUUUCAUUCUGGUCACAAUUUUAAGGGAAACUACAAUAAUCCUGCCAUUUACAAAUGUGGAAACCUAGGCUCGUGGUGCCAGCUGUUCUCCCCUCCCCCCAGCCCACCGUCCCCCAGGACACAGAUCCCAAGUGCUGGAACCCAAUUGGAAGGUGCCUCCGUGGGUCUUAGCUUGCUCAGCAAGGCAGGAUUAUAACAUUUAAAAGUCAAGAUGGAAGCUCUUGGUGGUCCCAGAGGUGAGCUCUUUCCUAGAAGACUUGGUGCCAAGGCCUGGCUGAGGAGUGGUUAGAGUCUGUGUCUGCAGAGAUCAACUGCCCUGGCCUGAGCCAGGGGAUGGGGGUGCUGGCAUCCUUGCAUCUCCAAUCCAGCAGAAGAGGGAGCAGGCAGUGCCCAGUGUGGAGAGACGCAGAGCGGACCUGGAAGACCUUCAAGGCCAUGGCAGAGAAGAGAUGCUGGAUGCUUCCAGUCCCAAGUCCCGGGGGCUGCCCUGAGCCCACAGGGACCUCCUGCUGGUGUUGUGGGGAAUCAAAACAGGUGUCAAGGUGCCUAGGCAGGAAAGGGUUAAAGAAGGGCUGAAAAAAAUGUAAUUUACACGCAAAAGUCUCUCUAUCCUUCCCUCCAGACAACCCAAGGCUUGAGCAAACCAAUCAAUAUUUAAUGAAGACAUUUCCCUCUGACGUGGAGGGAGGCAGGUGGUGGCCCGGCUUUCCUCUGCACAGGGAACAGACAGGAGCUCCAGUCUGCAGGGCCUUGAUACACCUUUGGGGUUGAUUCCUAUGGGCCAAUGCCCGUCCCACUGUCUUGAAGGAUGCCCCAUCUCUCUGAUACUGGGUUCAUUCUUCCCCCUUUCUCCCACAGCCAGCUGCCUUGGAAAUGGGAAGCUUCCUCCUUGUGCACUUGAACAGCCCAGGUGCCCACACCACGCCAUGAGCACUCAGUACAUACCUGCUGUGGGAAUGUCGGAAUGCAUGAGUGGGUAAGUAAGCCAGUGGGUGAAUGUGCAAAGAAUUGAGGGAGUGAAUGGGUGAGGGGAUAAAUGGGUGCAUGGGGGAGUGGGUGAAUGGGUGAGUGGCUGAAUGAAUGAGUGGGUGAAUGGGUGAACAGGUGAACUGUUGAAUGGGUAAGUGGUGAAUGGGUGAAUGGGUGAACAGGAGACAGAGCGAAUGGGUGAAUGGGUGAGAUGGUGAAUGGGUGAGAUGGUGAAUGGGUGAGAUAGUGAGUGAGUGAGUGGGUGAAUGAGUGAAUGGGUGAACAGGUAAAUGAGUGAAGGAGUGAAUCAGUGAAUGGGUGAAUGGGUGAAUGAGUGAAGGAGUGAAUGAGUGAAUGGGUGAAUAGGUGAAUGGGUGAAUGGGUGGGUAAAUGAGUGAGUGGGUGAAUGAGUGAGUGGGUGAAUGAGUGGGUGAAUGAGUGAGUGGGUGAAUGGGUGAAUGAGUGAGUGGGUGAAUGAGUGAGUGGGUGAAUGAGUGAGUGGGUGAAUGAGUGAGUGGGUGAAUGGGUGAAUGAGUGAGUGGGUGAAUGAGUGAGUGGGUGAAUGAGUGAGUGGGUGAAUGGGUGAAUGAGUGAGUGGGUGAAUGAGUGAGUGGGUGAAUGAGUGAGUGGGUGAAUGAGUGAGUGGGUGAAUGGGUGAAUGAGUGAGUGGAUGAAUGAGUGAGUGGAUGAGUGAGUGAGUGGGUGAGUGAGGGAAUGGGUGAGUGAGGGAAUGGGUGAGUGGGUGAAUGAGUGGGUGAGUGGUGAAUGGGUGAGUGAUUGGGUGAAUGAGUGGGUUAGUGAGUGGGUGAAUGGGUGAGUGAGUUGGUGAAUGGGUGAAUGAGUGAGUGGGCGUGUGAGUGGGUGAGUGAGUGAGUGGGUGAGUGAGUGGGUGAAUGGGUGAAUGAGUGAGUGCAUGAAUGGGUGAAUGAGUGAGUGGGUGAAUGGCUGAAUGAGUGAGUGGGUGAAUAGGUGAAUGGGUGUGUGGGUGAGUGGCUGAGUGAACGGGUGAGUGGGUGAGUGAAUGGGUGAGUGAGUGGGUGAAUGAGNNNNNNNNNNGAGUGAGUGAGUGGGUGAGUAAGUGAGUGGGUGAAUGCUUUCUCAACUCCCACAGGUGCAUGGUUCCAGCUGCCUGAGGACUCUCCGUGUGUGGACGCACCUUGCUAGGAGUUCAGUGUGAAAUGCACUGAUGUACUCAUCAGCCACCAGAGGCCCAGAUGUCAGCCAGGUGUCCUGGCUGGUCAGCCACAGCCCCUCCUCCCCCAGGGCCCGGGCAAACCUGGUAAGGCCUCAUCUACUCCAGGCCCCUGGGCUCUUCUCUAGGCCCUUGGGGGGAUGAGACACGUCCCUGGCUCCUCUCCCUGCCCCCACUGCCACUUUGACCCACUGUGGAGGCUGCUUAGCUCCAUGAAGCUCUGGGAUCAGCCUCAUGCCCCAGAAGUGAGUGAUCUUGAGCCCCAGCCCCGAGCCCAGUGGGCCCUGCGUGAUCCCAGGUUCUCCGACGGACCCCGGGGUGGCCGGGAGAAGCCGUAUGUGCUGUGGACAGAGAUGUCUGCCCCCCAGCCCUGCCCAGGCCCAGGUCCUGCUCCUGUGCCUGGUGAGGGGGUGUUGCUGCCCAGUGCAGGCCUCACCUAGCAGUUCCUGGGCACUGGCUGAGGUCUGCUCCUGCUCCAAGUCCAGGGUGUCAGCCAAGCCUAGCUGGUGAGGGAGGCUGUGUGGCCUCAUGGGGUCGGCGGGGGGUAGCUUCGAAGUGGUCAGCUGUUGCCUGCUGGGGCGGCUGAGGAGGCUGGCUGCUGGAGUCCUGCUCCUGGCUUUCCAGGAUGCACAGGCUGGGCUUGGAGGAGCAAGGGGAGGCGGAUGGAAGGCGGAAAGGAGCCCGGGGCCAUGGCUCCCAACUCCUCUGAAAAGCCCGUGAGCUCGAUAGCAUCCUCUUUGCAUUUUAUCAAAUCGCCAUUUCUCACAGAAGAAUCUGUCAGCCGCC